AAAUUGAAGAGUUUGAUCGUGGCUCAGAUUGAACGCUGGCGGCAGGCCUAACACAUGCAAGUCGAACAUUGGCAGGAAGAAGCUUGCUUCUUUGCUGACGAGUGGCGGACGGGUGAGUAAUGUCUGGGAAACUGCCUGAUGGAGGGGGAUAACUACUGGAAACGGUAGCUAAUACCGCAUAACGUCGCAAGACCAAAGAGGGGGACAGCUAGGACUCUUGCCAUCGGAUGUGCCCAGAUGGGAUUAGCUAGUAGGUGGGGUAACGGCUCACCUAGGCGACGAUCCCUAGCUGGUCUGAGAGGAUGACCAGCCACACUGGAACUGAGACACGGUCCAGACUCCUACGGGAGGCAGCAGUGGGGAAUAUUGCACAAUGGGCGCAAGCCUGAUGCAGCCAUGCCGCGUGUAUGAAGAAGGCCUUCGGGUUGUAAAGUACUUUCAGCGGGGAGGAAGGGAGUAAAGUUAAUACCUUUGCUCAUUGACGUUACCCACCAGAAGAAGCUUCCGGCUUAACUCCGUGCCAGCAGCCGCGGUAAUACGGAGGGUGCAAGCGUUAAUCGGAAUUACUGGGCGUAAAGCGCACGCAGGCGGUUUGUUAAGUCAGAUGUGAAAUCCCCGGGCUCAACCUGGGAACUGCAUCUGAUACUGGCAAGCGAGGUCUCGUAGAGGGGGGUAGGAAUUCCCGGGUGUAGCGGUGAAAUGCGUAGAGAUCUGGAGGAAUAUACCGGUGGCGGCGGCCCCACGGACGAACUUGACGCUCAGGUGCGAAAGCGUGAGCAAACAGAGUUAGAUACCGCGGUAGAAGUCCAUGGCAAACGAUGUCGACUUGGAGGUUGUGCCCUUGAGGCGUGGCUUCCGGAGCUAACGCGUUAAGUCGACCGCCUGGGGAGUACGGCCGCAAGGUUAAAACUCAAAUGAAUUGACGGGGGCCCGCACAAGCGGUGGAGCAUAUGGAAGUUUAAUUCGAUGCAACGCGAAGAACCUUACCUGGUCUUGACAUCCACAGAACUUUCCAGAGAUGGAUUGGUGCCUUCGGGAACUGUGAGACAGGUGCUGCAUGGCUGUCGUCAGCUCGUGUUGUGAAAUGUUGGGUUUAAGUCCGCAACGAGAGCGCAACCCUUAUCCUUUGUUGCCAGCGGUCCGGCCGGGAACUCAAAGGAGACUGCCAGUGAUAAACUGGAGGAGGGUGAGGGAUGACGAUCAGGUCAUCAUGGCCCCACCCGACCGGAGCUACACGUGCUACAAUGGCGCAUACAAAGAGAAGCGACCUCGCGAGAGCAAGCGGACCUCAUAAAGUGCGUCGUAGUCCGGAUUGGAGUCUGCAACUCGACUCCAUGAAGUCGGAAUCGCUAGUAAUCGUGGAUCAGAAUGCCACGGUGAAUACGUUCCCGGGCCUUGUACACACCGCCCGUCACACCAUGGGAGUGGGUUGCAAAAGAAGUAGGUAGCUUAACCUUCGGGAGGGCGCUUACCACUUUGUGAUUCAUGACUGGGGUGAAGUCGUAACAAGGUAACCGUAGGGGAACCUGCGGUUGGAUCACCUCCUUA
rnacentral:rRNA from 1 species